AUGAUAUGGAGAUUGCUUUUCUCUUUGAAGUUCAUAGUUUACGGCUCUCUCCCUUGUUGGCUGCAGUCUGCUUGGCUGACUGCAGCCAGCCGCCGUAAACAUCGGCGUGAUCUUCUAGCUUCCUGUCCUUUGUUUGGCGACUUGAGCGCCACUUCCGCAUUCCCGCCAGGCCGUGUUGCGGUACGAUUUCUCCUUCCUAGUUUUUUAAGGUCUGUUUAUCCUCAUUCCUCAGUGGUUUCUCCUCCUGUUCCCUCCAUAAGUGGUUUUUAUAAACACCGUGGAUCUAACCCUACUAAUUUACAUCCACUAACUCCAGCUGUUUCUGUAGUUUCUGAUUCCUCCACCUCACUCAGCAUGGCUCUAUUAAAUACCCGCUCUGUUAACAAUAAGUCCUUCCUGCUCAAUGAUCUCAUUCUCCGUAAAAAGGCUCACAUUAAUAACUCAAUUCGGUCAGCAUACUUCCAUCUACGUUCCAUAAACCGUCUCCGUCCCUCACUGACCCCUCACACUGCCGCCAUUCUCGUCCACAGCCUCGUCACCUCCCGUAUCGACUAUUGCAAUUCACUUCUUUAUGGUCUUCCCAACAAACUCCUUCAUAAACUGCAACUGGUCCAGAAUUCAGCAGCCCGUGUUAUCACCAGAACCCCUUCCUUUCACCACAUCACCCCGGUUCUCCGGCAGCUUCACUGGCUCCCAGUUAAAUUCAGGUCCAUCUUGAAAAUUCUCCUCCAUACCUUCAAAGCAAUCCACAACCUCUCUCCUCCAUAUAUCUCAGACCUUAUAAGUAUUCACACCCCGUCCCGUUCACUCAGAUCUUCUUCUUCCAUCCAUCUUGCGGUUCCUUCUGCCCGUCUCGCUACCAUGGGGAGCAGAGCUUUCAGCCGCUCUGCUCCUCGACUCUGGAACUCACUUCCCCCAGACAUCAGGAACAUCGACAGUUUUACCCUUUUCAAAACAAAACUCAAAACACAUAUGUUUAAAUCUGCCUACAACCUCGGAUUUUAUUGA
rnacentral:lncRNA from 1 species